UACGAAGGGGGCUAGCGUUGCUCGGAAUUACUGGGCGUAAAGGGCGCGUAGGCGGAUAGUUUAGUCAGAGGUGAAAGCCCAGGGCUCAACCCUGGAAUUGCCUUUGAUACUGGCUAUCUUGAGUUCGGGAGAGGUGAGUGGAACUCCGAGUGUAGAGGUGAAAUUCGUAGAUAUUCGGAAGAACACCAGUGGCGAAGGCGACUCACUGGCCCGAUACUGACGCUGAGGCGCGAAAGCGUGGGGAGCAAACAGG
rnacentral:rRNA from 1 species